UACGGAGGGAGCGAGCGUUGUCCGAAGUUACUGGGCGUAAAGCGCGCGUAGGCGGGAAAUUAAGUGAGAAGUGAAAGGCUGGGGCUUAACCCCAUGCAGUGCUCCUCAUACUGGUUUUCUUGAGGGUGGUAGAGAGAAGUGGAAUGGCUGGUGUAGCGGUGAGAUGCGUAGAUAUCAGUCGGAACACCAGUGGCGAAGGCGGCUUCUUGGGCCAUUACUGACGCUGAGGCGCGAAAGCCAGGGGAGCAAGCGGG
rnacentral:rRNA from 1 species